GUCGGGAUAGCUCAGCUGGNAGAGCAGAGGACUGAAANUC
rnacentral:tRNA from 1 species